rnacentral:piRNA from 1 species
UGGUGAUUUUAGGGAUCCUCAAGGCCAC